CCUUCAGCCUCUGAAUCUUCGUUGCAGGGCUGUGAGUCCCACAAAACCUCAAUUUUCACUUUAGAAAAUGGACAAAGAUGCGAGGAAGAAAGGCCCUGCCUUCCUUUAGGAUUCUAGUCUCUCGUCUGCAACAUCAGAGGGCUGGACAGACACACCUUAGUCCUCAGACUGUGGUUAGUAUGUUAAGACUUCAGGACCCACCAGGGAGAGAUUACUCAUUAAAGAAAUGUCCUCCAAUGGAGAAGAGGAAGGCAUCACUUGGUUGAUCAUCUGGAUUGUAAGAAAUGUCUCCAAGAUGGAUAAAAGGAAUUUUAACUCUCCAAAUCUCUCAUGAGUUCUAUACCUUUAGGGAGACACUAUCUCCAGUUUCUAAGGCCAUGGGAAUCCAAACACCUCCUCUGUUCAGAAAGCCUGAACAAUGAAAAUCUAUGAAAUAUUCAUGGAGAAUUUUCUUCCAAUGCCAGAGGAACCGCUGCCACCUUGCACCAUGAGGAGGAAAGCAUAAAUUAAUGAUGAGAGAACAGAAAGAUAGAAGGGGCCUGAGACUGGUGGCUUCCUUGAUCAACUGAACAAGCCUUGUACUUGCUUGUCUAAACCUUAUUUUCUCUUGCAAAGAGCCAAACGAUAUCCUAUCUGCUGCAUUUCUUCUAACAGAAACUGACAGGACAGAAGCCAAGCAAAAAGGAAAAAAGGUCCAACCCCUGCUGGAACAUCAGCUGCUUGAGAGCAGAAGCCUGCCUCAUUCACCACUGUGCCUACAGCCCUUGGGCCACCUACCAGCCACUUGAGCUCUUAAUAAAUGUUGGUUUUGAUAGGUG